CCGCCAGCGUCCAGCGCCCAAACUUUUGUUACUUUAAGUGCCCAGCUCCACACACACCUCCCCGAGCCGCCAGCAUCUGAAAACAGCUUUUUUUCAGAUGGGAGACCAGGUGACUAGCAUUUGUUCUGUCAAAGGCAUGUUCCACGACAAAGCUGCUGUGACUGCAGGACCCGGCGGAUUGCAAGGGACCUGAGACAGGAUCAGAGGACAUUUGUGGGACUGCUCACCGAGGCCGCCCUGACCGCCGGGGGCCAGCUCAACCACAGACGUGACCACCGGCCGGCCCGCAGCACCAGAAGUUGGAGGGUGGGGCACAUGACCCAGGACAGAUGGAGCUUGUCACUCAUUCCCCUGGAUACAGUGAGCUGAGCCAGGAGGCUGGAGCUCUACAUAGUUUGUGGGUGCCCCCAGGACCCUUAUGGGCCCCCAGCCACCUGCCAG
rnacentral:lncRNA from 12 species